UCGUUUAACCCAGUGGAACACCGGAGGCUCGCCAUCCCUGGAGUUUGUGUUUUUGUGCCCCGCCGCGGCGCACUGUAGACCUGGGGUUAAGUCCCAUUUGUCAUUUUUCUCCUCCAAAGGCUUUCUCCUGGUACUUUAUUUUUCUAAUCCGUAGUGGAUGGAGGAAGGUGGAUGGCGAAACAGAGCUGAAAGAGCUUUCAGUUCUAAUAUUUGCGUAAUCGGCCAGGUCACAUUCAUUUCAGCAUCCAGCCCCACUUCUGGUGGCUUCCCCAGCGACCUAAGGACAAUACAGACGGAGACGUGGAGGGGGAGGACAACUGGAUACAUUUUCCUGGGACUUCUCCUUAUUGCACUUCUGGAUUGAAUCCCCUGCUUUCUGGAUCCUGUGUGUUUCUCUUUCUUGUUUUACAUUUGCUACCUAAACAAAAGUCCAGCUGCAAUGUUGUAAGGAAGUCCAAGCCAUCCUGCUGGAGAGACAGAUCAUAUGAAGAAAACAACACAUGGAGAGAGAAAAAAGCCACCCAGCGUAGCACUGGGCCAUUGGACAGGCUUGGAUGAUGUGAGCCUGCAGAUGCCAGUGGCCAAACAGCCUGCCACAUGCAGAGAACAGGAUUCACUCGUACAACAGCUAGUAUUCGUUUUUAGAAACAUCUCUCUGCUAGAAUCUUAGAGUGGCCUCAAGCCAACAGCCAGCAAAAAGCAGGGCACCCAGUGAUACAGCUGCAAAGAAAGAAUUCUGCCAACAACCAGAAUGAACUUGGAAUUGGAUUCUUCCCCAGUCAAGCCUCCAGAUGAGAAGGCAGCCCAGUCAGCACCUUGAUUGCAGCCUUGUGAGACCAUGAGAAGAAGACCUGGCUAAGCCUGCCUGGACUCCUGACGCACGGAACUAUGAGGUGAUAAACUGUGUUGUUUUAAGCUGCUAAGUUGGUGAUCAUUUGUUAUGCAGCACAGAAAACUAGUAGAAUAUCCAUUCCUACCACUCUAAACCACUACAUGCUAAUCAAAGUUUUCAUCCUUUCAGUGUACUUUUCCAUUCCAAUCUUGUUUUAUAUCCAAUUUAUUAAUAAUCAAUGAACGUGGUAAAUUUUAAAACCGUAAAAGAGUUUAUAGUAAAACGUCUUCUCUUGCUUCUCUGUUCCCAAUCACUCUGUUUCCUUCCCCAGGGACAACCUGUGUUACCAGUUUCUUGUUUAUCUUUCAAGGGAAGUUCUACAUAUCUAUGUGCAAAUCCGCUACAUAUGUAUUCUUAUUUUGCAUGAAUGGAUUCUACCGUAUAUACUGUUUUGCACCUUGUUUUUCAGUUAGUGUGUCUUGGAGAUUAUUCUGUAUCAGCACAAUCAAAGUUCUUUCUUUUUUAGAUGGAUGUAUCAUCAUUUAAUAACUUCUUUACAAA